rnacentral:rRNA from 1 species
AUGGAGAUGGUGGAGAAGCUUUCUCUCACCACAAGACCACAUCCACAUCCUUACUACAUCCAAUGGUUCAACAACAGUGGCAAGGUUAAGGUAACACGUACUGUUCGUGUGCAUUUUAGUAUCUCUACAUAUGCUGAUUAUGUUGAUUGUGAUGUGGUACCUAUGCAAGCAUGUUCCUUAUUACUUGGUAGACCAUGGCAAUUUGAUAAAAAUUCUGUACACCAUGGUAGAAACAAUCACUAUACUCUUGUUCAUAAGGAUAAAAAUAUUACUUUGCUUCCUAUGACUCCUGAUUCCAUUUUGAAAGAUGAUAUUAAUAGAGCUAAUAAAGCAAAACAGGAGACGAAUAAGAGUGAAAAUCAGAUUGUGGCAAAAGAAUUUGAGCAACAAAUGAAGCCUAAUAAUAAACCAUCUAGUGUUGCUUCUGAAAUUAAAUUGAAAAGUGCAUGUUUAUUUGCCACCAAAUCUGAUAUUGACGAGCUAGAUUUCAGCAAAUCUGUUUGCUAUGCUUUUGUGUGCAAAGAGGCAUUAUUUUCAUUCGAGGACGUGCCUUCCUCUUUGCCUCCUGCUGUCACUAACAUUUUGCAGGAGUUUGCUGACGUCUUUCCACAAGACGUGCCACCGGGAUUACCGCCUAUUCGAGGGAUUGAGCAUCAGAUUGACUUAAUUCCCGGUGCUUCACUGCCAAACCGUGCACCAUACCGUACCAAUCCAGAGGAGACGAAGGAGAUUAUGCGUCCAGUACAAGAGCUUCUCGACAAAGGUUAUAUACGCGAAUCCCUUAGUCCUUGUGCUGUUCCUAUUAUUCUAGUGCCGAAAAAGGAUGGUACAUCACGUAUGUGUGUUGAUUGUAGAGGCAUUAAUAAUAUUACUAUUCGUUAUCGUCAUCCUAUUCCUAGGCUAGAUGAUAUGCUUGAUGAAUUGAGUGGCUCUACAAUAUUCUCCAAAGUUGAUUUACGUAGUGGAUACCAUCAAAUUCGUAUGAAAUUGGGAGAUGAAUGGAAAACAGCAUUCAAAACUAAGUUUGGAUUAUAUGAGUGGUUAGUCAUGCCUUUUGGGUUAACUAAUGCACCUAGUACUUUCAUAAGAUUAAUGAACGAAGUUUUACGUGCUUUCAUUGGACGAUUUGUGGUAGUUUACUUUGAUGACAUAUUGAUUUAUAGCAGAUCUUUGGAAGAACAUUUGGAACAUUUACGUGCUGUUUUUAUUGCUCUACAUGAUGCACGUUUGUUUGGUAACCUUGGGAAGUGCACCUUUUGCACCGACCGAGUAUCUUUUCUUGGCUAUGUUGUUACUCCACAGGGAACUGAAGUUGAUAAAGCCAAGAUUGAAGCUAUUGAGAGUUGGCCGCAACCCAAAACGGUCACACAAGUGACGAGUUUUCUUGGCCUCGCUGGAUUCUAUAGGCGUUUUGUGAGAGAUUUCAGCACCAUUGCUGCACCUCUCAAUGAGCUUACAAAGAAAGAUGUGCCUUUUCUUUGGGGUACCGCACAGGAAGAAGCCUUCACGGUAUUGAAAGAUAAGUUGACACAUGCUCCUUUACUCCAACUUCCUGAUUUUAAUAAGACUUUUGAGCUUGAAUGUGAUGCUAGUGGAAUUGGAUUAGGAGGUGUGUUAUUACAAGAUGGCAAACCUGUUGCAUACUUUUCUGAAAAAUUGAGUGGGCCUAGUCUGAAUUAUUCUACUUAUGAUAAAGAAUUAUAUGCUCUUGUUCGGACUUUAGAAACAUGGCAACAUUAUUUAUGGCCCAAAGAAUUUGUUAUACAUUCUGAUCAUGAAUCUUUGAAACAUAUUAAAAGUCAAGCUAAACUGAAUCGUAGACAUGCUAAAUGGGUUGAAUUCAUUGAGACUUUCCCUUAUGUCAUUAAACACAAGAAGGGAAAAGAAAAUGUUAGUGUUGAUGCAUUGUCUCGUCGCUAUACUAUGCUUUCACAACUUGACUUCAAAAUAUUUGGUUUGGAGACCAUGAAAGAUCAAUAUGUGCAUGAUGCUGAUUUUAAAGAUGUAAUGCAGAAUUGUAAAGAAGGAAGAAUGUGGAACAAGUUUGUUGUUAACGAUGGAUUUGUGUUUCGUGCUAACAAGCUAUGCAUUCCAGCUAGCUCCGUUCGUCUUUUGUUGUUGCAGGAGGCGCAUGGAGGAGGAUUAAUGGGACACUUUGGCGUGAAGAAGACGGAGGACGUACUUGCUACACAUUUCUUUUGGCCAAAGAUGAGACGGGAUGUUGAGCGUUUUAUUGCUCGCUGCACUACAUGUCAAAAAGCUAAGUCACGACUCAAUCCUCAUGGUUUAUAUAUGCCUUUGCCUGUACCUACUGUUCCUUGGGAGGAUAUAUCUAUGGACUUUGUUUUAGGUUUACCUCGAACAAAGAAGGGGAGGGAUAGCAUAUUUGUUGUCGUGGAUAGAUUCUCGAAAAUGGCACACUUUAUACCAUGUCAUAAAAGUGAUGAUGCUCUUAAUGUUGCUGAUUUGUUCUUUCGUGAAAUUAAUCGUGAUACUAAAUUUCUUAGCCACUUUUGGAGAUGUUUAUGGGCUAAGUUGGGGACUAAACAACUUUUUAGUACUACUUGUCACCCCCAAACUGAUGGACAAACUGAAGUAGUCAAUAGAACGUUGUCUACUAUGCUUAGGGCUGUUUUGAAGAAUAAUAAGAAAAUGUGGGAGGAAUGCUUGCCUCAUAUUGAAUUUGCUUAUAAUCGUUCAUUGCAUUCUACUACUAAGAUGUGCCCUUUUGAAGUUGUGUAUGGUUUCCUACCUCGUGCACCUAUUGAUUUGUUGCCUCUUCCAUCUUCGGAGAAGGUUAAUUUUGAUGCUAAACAACGUGCUGAAUUGAUUUUAAAAAUGCAUGAGUUAACUAAGGAAAACAUUGAGCGCAUGAAUGCUAAAUAUAAACUUGCUGGAGAUAAGGGUAGAAAACAUGUUGUGUUUGCACCUGGAGAUCUUGUUUGGUUACAUUUGCGUAAGGAUAGAUUUCCUGAUUUGCGCAAAUCAAAGUUAAUGCCACGUGCUGAUGGUCCCUUUAAGGUGUUAGAGAAAAUAAAUGAUAAUGCAUAUAAACUUGAGCUGCCUGCAGAUUUUGGGGUUAGUCCCACUUUUAACAUUGCAGAUUUGAAGCCUUAUUUGGGUGAGGAAGGUGAGUUUCCGUCGAGGACGACUUCAUUUCAAGAAGGGGAGGAUGAUGAGGACAUCAAUACCAUUGUUACACCCACAGGCCCUGCUGCUAUACAUACUGGACCAAUUACUAGAGCUCGCGAAUAA